rnacentral:rRNA from 1 species
GUUUGAUCCUGGCUCAGGAUGAACGCUGGCGGCGUGCCUAAACAUGCAAGUCGAGCGAAUGGAUUAAGAGCUUGCUCUUAUGAAGUUAGCGGCGGACGGGUGAGUAACACGUGGGUAACCUGCCCAUAAGACUGGGAUAACUCCGGGAAACCGGGGCUAAUACCGGAUAACAUUUUGAACGCAUGGUUCGAAAUUGAAAGGCGGCUUCGGCUGUCACUUAUGGAUGGACCCGCGUCGCAUUAGCUAGUUGGUGAGGUAACGGCUCACCAAGGCAACGAUGCGUAGCCGACCUGAGAGGGUGAUCGGCCACACUGGGACUGAGACACGGCCCAGACUCCUACGGGAGGCAGCAGUAGGGAAUCUUCCGCAAUGGACGAAAGUCUGACGGAGCAACGCCGCGUGAGUGAUGAAGGCUUUCGGGUCGUAAAACUCUGUUGUUAGGGAAGAACAAGUGCUAGUUGAAUAAGCUGGCACCUUGACGGUACCUAACCAGAAAGCCACGGCUAACUACGUGCCAGCAGCCGCGGUAAUACGUAGGUGGCAAGCGUUAUCCGGAAUUAUUGGGCGUAAAGCGCGCGCAGGUGGUUUCUUAAGUCUGAUGUGAAAGCCCACGGCUCAACCGUGGAGGGUCAUUGAAACUGGGAGACUUGAGUGCAGAAGAGGAAAGUGGAAUCGAGCGAAGCGAGAGAUAUGGAGGAACACCAGGCGAAGGCGAC